rnacentral:rRNA from 1 species
CCUACGGGGGGCAGCAGUGGGGAAUUGUUCGCAAUGGGCGCAAGCCUGACGACGCAACGCCGCGUGGAGGAUGAAGGUCUUCGGAUUGUAAACUCCUGUUGAUCGGGACGAAAAGCUUCGACCUAACACGUCGGAGACUGACGGUACCGGUUGAGGAAGCCACGGCUAACUCUGUGCCAGCAGCCGCGGUAAUACAGAGGUGGCAAGCGUUGUUCGGAAUUACUGGGCGUAGAGGGCGCGAAGGCGGCCUGAAAGCCCCAGGCUUAACCUGGGAACUGCGUCCGAUACUGGGAGGCUUGGAUUCGGGAGAGGGAUGUGGAAUUCCAGGUGUAGCGGUGAAAUGCGUAGAUAUCUGGAGGAACACCGGUGGCGAAGGCGGCAUCCUGGACCGAGAUCGACGCUGAGGCGCGAAAGCUAGGGGAGCAAACGGGAUUAGAUACCCCGGUAGUC